GAGCGCCGUAUGAAAUAAAAAUUUCAUGUACGGUGUCUAAAGAGAACAAAAACUGAUCUCAAUUUUUUGUUUAUCUAUAUCUACUUUAGC
rnacentral:ncRNA from 1 species